rnacentral:rRNA from 1 species
AUUUUGGGCAAUGGGCGAAAGCCUGACCCAGCAACGCCGCGUGAGGGAUGAAGUAUUUCGGUAUGUAAACCUCGAAAGAAUGGGAAGAAUAAAUGACGGUACCAUUUAUAAGCUCCGGCUAACUACGUGCCAGCAGCCGCGGUAAUACGUAGGGAGCAAGCGUGGUUCGGCUUUACUGGGCGUAAAGGGCGCGUAGGCGGCGCGGUAAGUCACUUGUGAAAUCUCUGAGCUUAACUCAGAACGGCCAAGUGAUACUGCUGGGCUAGCGGGCGGAAGAGGCAACCGGAAUUCUUGGUGUAGCUGUGAAAUGCGUAGAUAUCAAGAGGAACGCCUGAGGUGAAGGCGGGUUGCUGGGCCGACACUGAC